UACGUAGGGGGCAAGCGUUGUCCGGAUUUAUUGGGCGUAAAGCGCGCGUAGGCGGCUUUGCAAGUCGGGUGUGAAAUCCCCAGGCUUAACCUGGGAACUGCAUUCGAGACUGCAUUGCUAGAGUAUGGGAGAGGGUAGUGGAAUUCCCGGUGUAGUGGUGAAAUGCGUAGAUAUCGGGAGGAACACCAGUGGCGAAGGCGACUACCUGGCCUGUUCUUGACGCUGAGGCGCGAAAGCUAGGGGAGCAAACGGG
rnacentral:rRNA from 1 species